AAGUAGCAGCGUGUAGCGAAGCCGUUUGGCCAUCUACCGUCCUUGCCGCAUCAGCACCCCUCUCGCCUCUCUUUCGUCUCUUGUUUGUUUGUAAGUACUAUUAUUACAUCGUUCAUUUCCUUGUCGAUCUGAGUGAGUGGGCCCGUCUUUGCGUUCUGCUCGUGGCUCGUUUCUUAUUCGGCUCUUCAUUACCAAUAGCACACACCUCGACAGACAACAUUGGCGCCGUCGCCUUCAUCACUGCAGCGGCUGUCGCACUUCCCCCCCCAACCUCCAUCCUCACCAAGACAACGAUAACGACUACGACCCCCUGUACGUUUUUUGCGGGCAAAGACCUAGCACGUGCCUAUCUGUCUUUUCGUUUCCUUGUUCCUUCGUACAUCUCGCUCACGCUCUCGUUCCUUUACUCGACUAACGAACUUCGUGUCCUCCACACCUUACGACCACAUAUAUUGUUCGUUCCGUUUCAGUCGCUUUCAUCGAAUACCUCCACUUGUGUGUGUCAGUGAGUGCUGUGCGCGGGCUCGCUUUUUUCAUUUCGUGCCCAUUCAAACACGCACACUCAUACCAUUGCGCAAACGGCUGUGCUCGACGACAGCAACACCACAGAAAGGAAACCAAGGGGAUCAACGCGUAUACGCACACACACACAGACGACCCGGCCUCUUCCGUAGGGUGCCCCUGUCGCGUGUAGUUUCCCGCUCUGUUUGGAUCCCCUUCGGGCUACAGAACGCCAAAGCACCCCGACAGAACCUCACCCGCCUCUUUUUUUCCGUCGGCCAAGCACCUCGCGCAUCAUGUCACUAUUCGGUGAGCCUCUACCCUUCGAGGAUGACACAGCGACCUCGCUCAUCCGUCGGGUCGGCUUCCCGCCGGAUAAGAUGUACGCCCAGAUGCCAGAGGUCUACCUCUGCCCGUGCUGCAGCGAGUUCAGCAAGCAGGAGGAGCGCGAGCGUCUUUUGCGCGAGGCCCGCGACGCCAAGGAGGCUGAGCGUCGCCGCCUCAUGCAGCUCGAUGUGUUCGAGGAGCGUGCGCGGCCGCUGCCCUCAGGCGAUAUCCGUCGCAAGGCAUACCGGCGGAUCAUGGAGGAUGAUGAACUGGCCGAGACCGCCCCGAGCGUGCCGCCACCACCGCAGACGAUCGAUGAACUGCGCCGCGCCAAGAAGGAUCAGAAGGUGCCGAAGCUGAUCGUCACGGUCCACUGUGGCCGACACGUGAGCGCUGAGCACGAUGACCGGAUCUCCGUGAUCGUGCGCUGCGGUGCCUUUGAGGGCCAGACCGAAAAGGUGCUGCGCGGCAAGGAGGUGAUGGUAACGUGGGAGGAGCUCUUCGAGUUCCCGUACAUCAACCACAACGAGCCACUGGAGGUGCUCGUCGUGAACGAUGCUCUCCCCGAGAAGAAUGACCAGCUGAUCGGCGGCGUGAUGAUCCCGUGCGGCGCCCUGCACGACCGCAGCCACGGCGACCAGGAGCCACUGCCGAUCAUGCCGGAGGACAGCAUGCAGACGGGCUACGGCAGCUGUCAAGAAGGUCCGCUGGGCACCAUCGUGGCCUCUUGGUACCUGCGCGGCGCCGACGACAAGAUGGACGAGGAGGCAAUCGAGCAGCAGACGCUAAGCGUGCCGCUCGGCUGUACCUUUGUGGUCCACCACUUAUUCCAGUUCACCGACUACGGCGCGGAGGCGUACACCGGCGGUGUCCUGUGUGUGCUGCGCGACACGGACGACAACUGCUCCGAGUCAGUGCUCUACAAGCCUGGGGCUCAGCCAGAGCCAUCGCUGUCGCCUUACUACGCCAAGGAUGGCUACUACUACCUCCCUGGGAAUCCGUCGCAGGUUAUGCAGCUCAACACCGAGAGGAAGCUGGGCCACAUCCUCGUAUGCGUACCGAAAAAGGAGGAGAGCUCGUCGGAGGAGGAGGAGCUUCUCGUCAUUGGCGCGGUGCCGCUGGAGUUCGAGCGUCUGUACAACAAGGGAAAUGCGGUGCUGCUGAUUGAGUCAAAGUCGAAGGAGGACGCCCUCUGGGGCGAGAUCGAGGUCGAGUGGGCGAACAAACCGCUGGAUGAUUUGGACCCGCACCCUUCCUCCCUGGCAGUGCAGAAGGAGUCGCUGUUUUUCACCAUCGUCCGCGGCUUCAACCUUGUGCGGCGUGACGGCGGGCCCGUAGCGGAGGGCUACGUGUCUGUUGCCUCUGGCGAGCUGGAGGGUGUCACCGUGGAGGCGCCGGCCACCCAGGACUCCGACGGCAACAACAUCAUCAGCUGGAACCAGGAGGUGCGCUUUGUGGAGGUGGAUCCAAAUGAGAAAAUUGUUGAAGUGCAGGUGCACGAGAAGGGCCGCCUCGUGUCUGUCGGCCAGUGUGAGGUAGACGAUGAAGAGGGGGUGGUUAUCAUUCAGAUGCACCAUGCUGCGAAUAUCAACGAGGAAGCUGGCGAAGUCGUUGGAAGCUACAAGCGUCUGCACGCCCCGCGGCCGGUGGAGGAGGACAUAUACCGGAAGCGCCGUGCUGCCGAGGAAGCAGCCUACAAGGGUGCUGACGAGGAGGACGAAGAGCAGGAGGAAGCUCACCCUGCCGCCGUGCUGGAUGAGAGCAACGUGCACGAAGACGAAGAGGAGGAAGAGGAAGAGGAAGAGGAGGAGCCGCAGGCGACGCGAGCACCCCCGAUGGCUGAUCGCGCCAUGAGCAUCAACGAAGAUCUUUCGGAGGAAGAGAAGGAGGUCGACGAGGCCGCGCCACACGAGACGCCUCAAUGGCAGAGGAGCCAACAGGGAGAGCAGGAGCCCGAGGAGGACGAGGAAGAGGUGCCACAGCAGCUCGAGUAUCUCGAAGAGGCGCAGUCUGAGGAGACGCAGCCUAAGGAAGAGCUGCAAGAGGAUGCGGCGCAAGAGCAGCAGCUUGAGCCGGAAGUGGAGGAGGAGCCGCAGCCCGAGGAGGAGGAAGAUGCCGAGCAUCUGGUUGAAGAGGCGUUGGAAGAGGUGUCAGAGCCCGAGGAGACGGAAGAGGGUCUGCGGCGGCCUGCGACGGCGUCGGAAGAGGCGUCGGAAGCCGCUUCGGAAUCCGAGGCGGGGGAAGAGGGUCUGCGCCGGCCUGCGGCGGCGUCGGAAGAGGCGUCGGAAGCCGCUUCGGAAUCCGAGGCGGGGGAAGAGGGUCUGCGCCGGCCUGCGGCGGCGUCGGAAGAGGCGUCGGAAGCCGCUUCGGAAUCCGAGGCGGGGGAAGAGGGUCUGGGCCGGCCUGCGGCGGCGUCGGAAGAGGCGUCGGAAGCCGCUUCAGAAUCCGAGGCGGGGGAAGAGGGUCUGCGCCGGCCUGCGGCGGCGUCGGAAGAGGCGUCGGAAGCCGCUUCGGAAUCCGAGGCGGGGGAAGAGGGUCUGGGCCGGCCUGCGGCGGCGUCGGAAGAGGCGUCGGAAGCCGUUUCAGAAUCCGAGGCGGGGGAAGAGGAUCUGCGCCGGCCUGCGGCGGCGCCGGAAGAGGCGUCGGAAGCCGUUUCAGAAUCCGCGGCGGGGGAAGAGGAUCUGCGCCGGCCUGCGGCGGCGGCGGAAGAGGUGUCGCAGCCCGAGGAGGAGCAGCCGGAGGAGGAGGAGUACCACGGAGAGCUGCACCGCCAGGAGUACGAGCCGGAAGAGGCGCAUCAAGUGGAGUUUGGCGAGUUUGAGGCUGAGCACUACCACGCCGCGGCGCGGUCUGCCGGCACGCCUACGGCGGAGGCGGGGGCGGCUUACCAUGCUACCGCCGGAGGACGGCAGCGCCGCCGUCCGUCGUGGGUGUCGCCUGCCACGAAAAGCAGCGGCUACAAGCAGCCAUGGUAUCCGUCUGGUGCUCCGGAAACAGAUCAGCACAUUCCCUUCUCCAAGACUAAGCUGUCAAAGAAGAACCUCGAGAGCAUUCGACAACUGGAGGCGUGCAAGUCGCGCAUCGAGGAGGAGUCGGUGCGCCGUAGCAGCACCCCUCGCCGCUCAAGCACGCGUGGCCUAUCCCCCAGCUCCCAGUAGGACUGCCGAGCCGCAUCCGGCCUAGCACACGUUGGCCGUCGAACGUGCGCCUCUCACACCACAACAGUUUUCCAGUGUGCAGGCAAGAAUGAGUCGGCUGUGUAAGUGGUGCUCACUGAGAGGGGGGAGGGCUGGCCUUCUGACACUCGUCUCGCCUUCGACCCUUGCCUCUGGUUCCUGUGGACAUGCAUGCAAAAUACACCAAAUGUACAUGAAUAUCUAUUAACGGCCGCACUUAUGCACACACUUCUUUUGCUGGUGUUGCACAUUGUACUGCCUGAUCGAUUUGCUGUUGUGGUUGCCAGUGACCGUUUUGACUGCCUUUUCGUGCUUGUGUGCGUUUGCAUGGCGGUUUGGCGGCUUUCCUGCUCGCCUCUGCGCUCCCUUUCCUUUUUGUUGUUAUUGUGGUUUCCCUGUACUCUCUCUGAGGCUGAAUUCUUCCCUUUUACAUGAACUUUAUGUACCUGUUCAUGAAUGCUUGAUUGUGUGUGGCUGCGUGUGUGUGCGUAUCUGUAUGUAUGUGUGCGAUUGUCGGACAACUCCGUGAAACCGUUCUGCGUUGACCGAUUCUCUUCUGGAUCUGGACUUCACGGGUAUUAGUAGUGGUAGGAUCGCGACCCGCUUGUGUAUCUGCGUUAAAAAACAUUGCUGCCUAUCUUUUGUAGCCAUAGUGGCGGCUUGAUAGAGGGUGAAGAGCGCGGCACCGUGAGUGCGCUCUUUUUCUCUCUUUUUGAGUGUAUCGAUUGUUCUCCCUGUACAUAUCGAUGAUCGUGCGAAAUCAUCCCUCGUUCUGACCCCAUCGCACGCCUCUCCACAUAGCGAGAACUUGUAUUCGCUGUACCCUAAUGAGUUCGCUCUUUUUUUCCCCCUUUUUGUUGUUUUCGAAUACCUGUACGGAAUCCUUCGUUUUUUUUUUUUGUGCUUUUUUGUACUUGUCUUUUCUAUUUUUUGCUUUCUGUGUGUCGUCGGCGAGCUGUGUGUGCUCUCCUCUCACUUUUCGUUGUCUUGAAUGUGUAUUUUUGCAAUAGUCGAAUAGAUGUUGGCCGUGCUGUGCAGAGAGGUGAGAUGAGGGUGAAAUCGAAUCGUUUUAUUCAGCUAGCGUGGAGGCCGAGGAGGGCGCUGCCUCUACUCUUUCGAUUCUCUCAGUAAAAUCCAGCAGAACAGCGAACUGAGCAGACGCCUGUGCUCUGUGUCAUGGCGCCGCUGGACGGCGACUCCUCAUAGUUGCUGGUUGGCUGCCACGGUUAGCGCGAGGAAGAAAUUGAAGGGACAAGAAAGACGGCCAUGUCGACAAACAAGAAGCGUAGAGCAAUGAGACGGAGCGGAACAAAAAGGAAUGAAGAAGGCUAUCGAUUAUUUUACUUUACCGUAGUUUGUUUUCGGACACCACCCAUCCUCUCCUUUAGACCGGCUGUGGACGCAGCUCCACUCACUCACACACGCCACGUUCUCCUCCGUCUUGUUUGUGUGUUAGCAGGGACUCUUGGAACGAUUCCCCGCCCUCUUCUGCUUGUCGCUUGCCUUAUCCUUGGUUCUUCCGUUUGUCAUCUCUUCCCCUCUCCUUUGUUUUCUUUGUCAUGCCUCAUCCCCCUUCGACGCAAGCGGACGUCUUCGUUUGUUUCUGAUGUUUGGCUCUUUUCGUCAUCCCGUGCUCGUAUAUAUUUAUGGGGGUUAGCCGAUCUCACUUUCUCGUCCUUUUCGGCACUUGUUAGACGUUUCGGUCGAUGUCUUCUUUUUACCUCCUUUUCUCUCGUUCAACGUGCUGUCAUUUGCUUUUUUUUUCUGAUUUCUUUCCUUCGUUCUCUGUUUUUCUUUAUCUCUGUGUGUGUGUAUGCUCUUGCCUGGCGCGCCCAGAAACUGUUUUGCAUGCGCAGCUGUGAAAGUUAUGACUUGUUCUUUUUAUG
rnacentral:misc_RNA from 1 species